AGUGAACGCUGGCGGUAGGCCUAACACAUGCAAGUCGAACGGCAGCACAGUAAGAGCUUGCUCUUACGGGUGGCGAGUGGCGGACGGGUGAGGAAUACAUCGGAAUCUACUUUUUCGUGGGGGAUAACGUAGGGAAACUUACGCUAAUACCGCAUACGACCUACGGGUGAAAGCAGGGGAUCUUCGGACCUUGCGCGAUUGAAUGAGCCGAUGUGGGAUUAGCUGGUUGGCGGGGUAAAGGCCCACCAAGGCGACGAUCCGUAGCCGGUCUGAGAGGAUGAUCGGCCACACGGGAACUGAGACACGGUCCAGACUCCUACGGGAGGCAGCAGUGGGGAAUAUUGGACAAUGGGCGCAAGCCUGAUCCAGCCAGACCGCGUGGGUGAAGAAGGCCUUCGGGUUGUAAAGCCCUUUUGUUGGGAAAGAAAAGCAGCAGGUUAAUACCCCGCUGUUCUGACGGUACCCAAAGAAUAAGCACCGGCUAACUUCGUG
rnacentral:rRNA from 1 species